rnacentral:rRNA from 1 species
AUUGAACGCUGGCGGCAGGCCUAACACAUGCAGGUCGAGCGGUAGCACAGGAGAGCUUGCUCUCCGGGUGACGAGCGGCGGACGGGUGAGUAAUGUCUGGGAAACUGCCUGAUGGAGGGGGAUAACUACUGGAAACGGUAGCUAAUACCGCAUAACGUCGCAAGACCAAAGAGGGGGACCUUCGGGCCUCUUGCCAUCAGAUGUGCCCAGAUGGGAUUAGCUAGUAGGUGGGGUAACGGCUCACCUAGGCGACGAUCCCUAGCUGGUCUGAGAGGAUGACCAGCCACACUGGAACUGAGACACGGUCCAGACUCCUACGGGAGGCAGCAGUGGGGAAUAUUGCACAAUGGGCGCAAGCCUGAUGCAGCCAUGCCGCGUGUAUGAAGAAGGCCUUCGGGUUGUAAAGUACUUUCAGCGGGGAGGAAGGUGUUGUGGUUAAUAACCACAGCAAUUGACGUUACCCGCAGAAGAAGCACCGGCUAACUCCGUGCCAGCCGCCGCGGUAACAC